rnacentral:lncRNA from 1 species
CCCCACCCCUGCUGAGUCUAAUCUGAUAGACCAUCCGUCCCCAAUCACCGGGGGAUUCAGACGUGUCAACUAAGAGGGUGGCCAGGUAUCAGUGAAGAUGUGACAGAGCCUGCAUGCAACGGUCGCUAUGACAGGACUGAAGGGGACCCUCCUCUUAGUUUUGGUCACUCUGCUGGUGCUUGAAAGUCGGAGCUUCGAGCUGCAGGACACCAUCCACGCUCUGCUGGAGGAGAACAUCCACCUCCAUGACCAGCUGGAAAACCUCACCCAGGCCCUCAGGGAGCUUAAGCGGAUGCUGUGGCUGCACGGGAACGAUCCAGAGCAUCAGGAACACUACGAUGAUGAAGACGUGCAGCAGCUGUGGGACGAGUGGUCCCAGCAUGGCAUGAGCGGUGAAACCCAUCUUCUCUUGGAACACGCCUUUUGUGGACACGAGCAGCACGACUCGGCGGCCCCCCUCCAUGAAGAAACCGGCCUCCUGGUGCUGGUGUUGCCCUGCUUAGCCCUGCUGUUGCUCCGCUGUUUGUAG